rnacentral:lncRNA from 1 species
AACCAGGCCAUGCCAGUGAGUGAAGCAUUGAUCAACCAGGCCAUGCCAGUGAGUGGAGCAUCAAUCAAUCAGGCCAUGCCUGUGAGUGGGGCAUUGAUCAACCAGGCCAUGCCAGUGAGUCAGGCAUCAACCAACCAGGUCAAGCAAAGGAGAAGAGCAUCUUCUAACCAGAAUCCACCAGUGAGAAAAGCAACAUUCAAUCAGGCCAAGCAAAGAAGAAGAGCAUCCUCCAACCAGGCCAUGCCAGUGAGCAAGGCAUUCAUCAACCAGGCCAUGCCAGUGAGUGAAGCAUCAAUCAACCAGGCCAUGCCAGUGAGCAAGGCAUCGAUCAGCCAGGCCACGCCAGUGAGCAAGGCAUUGAUCAGCCAGGCUAUGCCAGUGAGUGGAGCAUCAUCCAACCAGGCCAUGCCAGUGAGUGGGGCAUCGAUCAACCAGGCCAUGCCAGUGAGUGGAAUACUGAUCAACCAGGCCAUGCCAGUGAGUCAGGCAUCAGUCAACCAGGUCAAGCUAAAGAGAAGAGCAUCAUCCAACCAAAACCCACCAGCGAUAAAAGCAACAUUCAAUCAGGCCAAGCAAAGAAGAAGAGCAUCCUCCAACCAGGCCAUGCCAGUGAGUGAGGCAUCGAUCAACCAGGCCAUGCCAGUGAGUGAAGCAUCAAUCAACCAGGCCAUGCCAGUGAGUGGAGCAUUGAUCAACCAGGCCAUGCCAGUGAGUGAAGCAUUGAUCAACCAGGCCAUGCCAUUGAGUGAGGCAUCAUCCAACCAGGCCAUGCCAGUGAGUGGGGCAUUGAUCAACCAGGCCAUGCCAGUGAGUAAAGCAUCAAUCAAUCAGGCCAUGCCAGUGAGUGGAGCAUCAAUCAAUCAGGUCAUGCCAGUGAGUGGGGCAUUGAUCAACCAGGCCAUGCCAGUGAGUCAGGCAUCAACCAACGAGGUCGAGCUAAAGAGAAGAGCAUCUUCCAACCAGAACCCACCAGUGAGAAAAGCAACAUUCAAUCAGGCCAAGCA